UAAAGUCAAACAUUUUCCUAGUUGUUAUAAGCAUUUCGAAAACAUGAAACCCACCCACGAAAGUGACUUUACCCCUCCUGACCCCACGAAAGCUAAGAAACAAACUGGGAUUAGAUACCCCACUAUGCUUAGCCUUAAACCUAGAUGUUUAUAUAACAAAAAAUAUCCGCCAGGGUACUACAAGCGCUAGCUUAAAACCCAAAGGACUUGACGGUGUCUCAGACCCACCUAGAGGAGCCUGUUCUAGAACCGAUAUUCCUCGUUAAACCUCACCACCCCUUGUCCCAUCAGCCUAUAUACCGCCGUCGCAAGCUUACCCUGUGAAGGAUCAACAGUAAGCAGAAUGGAUAGCCUCCAAAACGUCAGGUCGAGGUGUAGCUCACGGGGUGGGAAGAAAUGGGCUACAUUUUCUAUAUUAGAAUAAACGAACGGCAUUAUGAAAUUAAUACCUGAAGGUGGAUUUAGUAGUAAAAAUCAAAUAGAGAGUCAUUUUGAACCAGGCUCUGAGACGCGCACACACCGCCCGUCGCCC
rnacentral:rRNA from 1 species